rnacentral:rRNA from 1 species
AAAACUUUCAACAACGGAUCUCUUGGUUCCGGCAUCGAUGAAGAACGCAGCGAAAUGCGAUACGUAAUGUGAAUUGCAGAAUUCAGUGAAUCAUCGAGUCUUUGAACGCACAUUGCGCCCCUUGGUAUUCCGGGGGGCAUGCCUGUCCGAGCGUCAUU